UACGUAGGCAGCGAGCGUUGUUCGGAGUUACUGGGCGUAAAGGGUGUGUAGGCGGUUUUCUAAGUUUGGUGUGAAAUCUCCCGGCUCAACCGGGAGGGUGCGCCGAAAACUGGGAGACUAGAGUGCGGGAUGGGAGAGUAGAAUUCCUGGUGUAGCGGUGAAAUGCGCAGAUAUCAGGAAGAACACCCGUGGCUAAGGCGGCUCUCUAGUACGGUACUGACGCUGAGACGCGAAAGCGUGGGGAGCGAACAGG
rnacentral:rRNA from 1 species